rnacentral:tRNA from 1 species
GGGCCCUUAGUUCAGCUGGAUAGAAUGUUUGACUUCGAAUCAAAAGGUCGGGAGUUCGAAUCUCUCAGGGCCCGCCA